rnacentral:tRNA from 1 species
GAGGGUAGAGCUCAGUGGUAGAGUGCAUGCCUGACAUGCACGAGGUCCUGGGUUCUAUCCCCAGUACCUUCA